GAGGCCCUCCUUCGGGGGGUGCCCUAGCGGCGAACGGGUGAGUAACACGUGGGCAACCUGCCCUCAGCUCUGGGAUAACUCCAAGAAAUUGGUGCUAAUACCGGAUGUGACCGCUGACCGCAUGGUCUGGUGGUGGAAAGAUUCAUCGGCUGAGGAUGGGCCCGCGGCCUAUCAGCUUGUUGGUGGGGUAAUGGCCCACCAAGGCGACGACGGGUAGCCGGCCUGAGAGGGUGACCGGCCACACUGGGACUGAGACACGGCCCAGACUCCUACGGGAGGCAGCAGUGGGGAAUAUUGCGCAAUGGGCGAAAGCCUGACGCAGCGACGCCGCGUGAGGGAUGACGGCCUUCGGGUUGUAAACCUCUUUCAGUAGGGACGAAGCGAAAGUGACGGUACCUACAGAAGAAGCACCG
rnacentral:rRNA from 1 species